rnacentral:rRNA from 1 species
AUACGUAGGGGGCAAGCGUUAUCCGGAUUUACUGGGUGUAAAGGGAGCGUAGGCGGGAGCUUAAGUCAGCGGUUAAAUGGUGCGGCUCAACCGUGCCCUGCCGUUGAAACUGGGUUUCUUGAGAGUGCAAGAGGCGGAUGGAAUUCAUGGUGUAGCGGUGAAGUGCUUAGAUAUCAUGAAGAACUCCGAUUGCGAAGGCAGUCCGCUGGGGCACGUCUGACGCUGAUGCUCGAAGGUGCGGGAAUCAAACAGGAUUAGAUACCCUGGUAGUCCGCACGGUAAACGAUGAUUACCCGCUGUCGGCGGCAGACAGUCGGCGGCCAAGCGAAAGCGAUAAGUAAUCCACCUGGGGAGUACGCCGGCAACGGUGAAACUCAAAUGAAUUGGCGGGG